GAUGAAGAACGUAGCGAAAUGCGAUAAGUAAUGUGAAUUGCAGAAUUCAGUGAAUCAUCGAAUCUUUGAACGCACAUUGCGCCCGCCAGUAUUCUGGCGGGCAUGCCUGUCCGAGCGUCAUUUCAACCCUCGAACCCCUCCGGGGGGUCGGCGUUGGGGAUCGGCACUUACCUGCCGGUCCCGAAAUACAGUGGCGGUCUCGCCGCAGCCUCUCCUGCGCAGUAGUUUGCACACUCGCACCGGGAGCGCGGCGCGUCCACGGCCGUAAAACAACCCAAACUUCUGAAAUGUUGACCUCGGAUCAGGUAGGAAUACCCGCUGAACUUAAGCAUAUCAAUAAGCGGAGGA
rnacentral:misc_RNA from 1 species